UACGGAGGGUGCGAGCGUUGUCCGGAAUCACUGGGCGUAAAGGGCGCGUAGGCGGCAUGCCAAGCGUGUGGUGAAAGCCCGGGGCUCAACCCCGGGUCGGCCGUGCGGACUGGCGUGCUCGAGCACUGUAGGGGCGGGUGGAAUUCCGGGUGUAGCGGUGGAAUGCGUAGAGAUCCGGAGGAAGACCGGUGGCGAAGGCGGCCUGCUGGGCAGAUACUGACACUGAGGCGCGACAGCGUGGGGAGCAAACAGG
rnacentral:rRNA from 1 species